AGAGUUUGAUCCUGGCUCAGAUUGAACGCUGGCGGCAGGCCUAACACAUGCAAGUCGAGCGGGGUUUUCGGACCUAGCGGCGGACGGGUGAGUAAUGCGUAGGAAGCUACCCGAUAGAGGGGGAUACCAGUUGGAAACGACUGUUAAUACCGCAUAAUGUCUACGGACCAAAGUGUGGGACCUUCGGGCCACAUGCUAUCGGAUGCGCCUACGUGGGAUUAGCUAGUUGGUGGGGUAAUGGCUCACCAAGGCGACGAUCCCUAGCUGGUUUGAGAGGAUGAUCAGCCACACUGGAACUGAGACACGGUUCAGACUCCUACGGGAGGCAGCAGUGGGGAAUAUUGGACAAUGGGCGCAAGCCUGAUCCAGCCAUGCCGCGUGUGUGAAGAAGGCCUUCGGGUUGUAAAGCACUUUCAGCGAGGAGGAAGGGAGUUGUGUUAAUAGUACAGCUUCUUGACGUUACUCGCAGAAGAAGCACCGGCUAACUCUGUGCCAGCAGCCGCGGUAAUACAGAGGGUGCAAGCGUUAAUCGGAAUUACUGGGCGUAAAGCGCACGUAGGCGGUUUUUUAAGUCAGAUGUGAAAGCCCCGGGCUCAACCUGGGAAUUGCAUUUGAAACUGGAAAACUAGAGUGUGUGAG
rnacentral:rRNA from 1 species